UCAGUAACAAGGAUUCAUCCUGCUGUGACUAUGUGGUGUGGCAGGGAAUCUCUGUUACUGGGG
rnacentral:pre_miRNA from 1 species